rnacentral:misc_RNA from 1 species
GCAAACUUGGUCAUUUAGAGGAAGUAAAAGUCGUAACAAGGUAACCGUAGGUGAACCUGCGGUUGGAUCAUUAAAAAUUCAACUUGGCCUCUGGGAUUUAUAGUUUUUUACUACCCAUGAUGGCUAAUUAACACCUGUGCACUUUAUGUAUCUUGGGUAUUUACUUACCCAAACAAUUUAUUAAACCCCUAUUGAUUAUGUCUGAAUAUAAUUUAAAUAUUAAAAACUUUUGACAACGGAUCUCUAGGCUCUCGCAUCGAUGAAGAACGCAGC